UGUGUGUGUGUAUUAGGUAUAGCGUGUGUGUGUGUAGGUAUAGUGUAUGUGUGUGUGUGUGUGUGUAGGUAUUAGGUAUAAUGUGUGUGUGUGUGCGUGUGUGUUGUGUGUGUGUGUGUAGGUAGGUAUUAGGUAUAGUGUGUGUGUGUGUGUGUGUGUGUGUGUGUGUGUGUGGGUAGGUAUUAGGUUUUGUGUGUGGGUCUGUGUGUGUGUGUGUGUAAGUUUUAGGUAUAGUGUGUGUGUGUGUGUGUAGGUAGGUAUUAGGUAUAAUGUGUGUGUGUGUAUUAGGUAUAGCGUGUGUGUGUGUGUGUGUAGGUAUAGGUAUAGCGUAUGUGUGUGUGUGUGUGUGUGUGUGUAGGUAUUAGGUAUAAUGUGUGUGUGUGUGUGUGUUGUGUGUGUGUGUGUAGGUAGGUAUUAGGCAUAGUGUGUGUGUGUAUGUGUGUGUGUAAGUAUUGGGUAUAAUGUAUGUGUGUGUAGGUAUUAGGUAUAAUGUGUGUGUGUGUGUGUGUGUUGUGUGUGUGUGUGUAGGUAGGUAUUAAGUAUAGUGUGUGGGUCUGUGUGUGUGUGUAAGUAUUGGGUAUAAUGUAUGUGUGUGUAGGUAUUAGGUAUAGUGUGUGUGUGUAUAAGGAUUAAGAUAUUAGUUAUUGAUCAUAAAUCAGAUUGUUAUCAUGAUAAAUGUGGCAUCUUUGUCUUGCUCCCUGAAAA